UACAUUUUAAACAGAAUAAACUACUCCAUAACGGAAUAUCUUUGAAUCUGUUACGUCGUGAUGACAUUUCCUUUUAAACUUUUGUUUGAUUUAAUCCAACUUCAUCGAGCUUGUUGUUUUUGACUUGUCUACAAUGGUUUAUCUUUCGUUGACUUCUCUCAGCUGGUUACGGUGAGGAAGUUGUGCUGGGUAACAGAAUCAACUCCUGACAAUAUUUUUCAGAUUUCCCUAACCUCUGUGUGACCCCUAACCUCUGUGUGACCCCUAUCAGCAGGAGGAGGUGAUGGACUGGUGGUCUGCGCUUGGACCAGAGAGAGGAGCAAGUGUUAUAACUACCUACCUACACAGGAAAUGGCUUCCUGAAAUCCCUCAAGCAGCUGAUUGGUCGACUCCAGGGCUAAUUGGAGAGCUGAUCCCGCCCCCUCGUCAAGACACAGCUGUCUCCAAUUACCCAUUCCUUCAGAAGCUAUAUAAAAGCCAGUGUUCUGUUCAGGAGGGAGAUCUUUUUGGAGGUAGAGAUUUUGCUGGAGGUAGGGAUUGCUGAGAUUGAUUGUGAUAGAGG
ensembl:lncRNA